rnacentral:tRNA from 1 species
GUUUUAGUAGUUUAAAUUUAAAACACUGGUCUUGUAAACCAGCAACAAGUAACACUUCUAAAACU